rnacentral:rRNA from 1 species
UUUCGCAAUGCCCGAAAGGGUGACGAAGCGACGCCGCGUGUGGGAAGAAGGCCUUCGGGUUGUAAACCACUGUCGGGAGUUAGGAAAUGCAGGUGCGUUAAUAGCGCACUUGCUUGACUAAGGCUCCAGAGGAAGCCACGGCUAACUCUGUGCCAGCAGCCGCGGUAAUACAGAGGCGGCAAGCGUUGUUCGGAAUUAUUGGGCGUAAAGAGCACGUAGGCGGCCUUGCAAGUCAGUUGUGAAAGCCUUCCGCUUAACGGAAGAACGGCAUCUGAUACUACAGGGCUUGAGUACGGGAGGGGAGAGUGGAACUUCUGGUGGGGCGGUGAAAUGCGUAGAUAUCAGAAGGAACGCCGGCGGCGAAAGCGACUCUCUGGUCCGAAACUGACGCUGAGUGUGCGAAAGCUAGGGGAGCAAACGGGAUUAGAUACCCCGGUAGUCCUAGCCGUAAACGAUGGGCACUAAGUAGAGGGGUUUU